rnacentral:misc_RNA from 1 species
GAUGAAGAACGUAGCGAAAUGCGAUACGUAAUGUGAAUUGCAGAAUUCAGUGAAUCAUCGAAUUUUUGAACGCACAUUGCACUCUCUGGUAUUCCGGAGAGUAUGCUUGUUUGAGUAUCUGUAAACAUCUCAAAUCUCUCUUCAAUUGCUUCAAUUGGGUCGAGAGAAUUGGAUUUGAGCGAUCCCGACUCCUUCGUCAGAAAGAGGAGGGUCGCUUGAAAUGCAGGUGCAGCUGGACAUUCUUCUGAGCAAAAAGCAUAUCUAUUUAGUCCCGUCAAACGGAUUAUUACUUUUGCUUCAGCUAAUAUAAAGGUUGAAUGAAUUACCAACGCUGAUUGCAGGAAAACAUGUUCGUUUAUUCGGACUUGUAAACUCGAUCUCAAAUCAAGUAAGACUACCCGCUGAACUUAAGCAUAUCAAUAAGCGGAGGA